ACGAGAGGUGCAAGCGUUAUUCGGAAUUAUUGGGCGUAAAGGGCGCGUAGGCGGUUUUAUAAGUUUUUUGUUUAAGGUUCCGGCCUAACUGGAAAGAUGCAAAAAAUACUGUAAGGCUAGAGUAUAAUAGAGAGAAGUGGAAUUUUCGGAGUAGCGGUUAAAUGCGUAGAUCUCGAAAGGAACGCCAAUGGCGAAGGCAGCUUCUUGGAUUAUUACUGACGCUGAGGCGCGAAGGCGUGGGGAGCAAACAGG
rnacentral:rRNA from 1 species